rnacentral:lncRNA from 1 species
AAAAAGCUCUCGCUGUGGAUAUCUUGAGGCUGAAUACCCUAAACAGGUAACAAAACCGCUUUUUAAACCCCGUCCCUUUUACACGGUAGUACCCCCACCACUCCGCGCCCCCUCCCCCUGGAGGAAGGGUAGGUCAGGUGUAUGAAAUGUCUCAAACAACUGUGACUCUCUGGCCAUUUUUUUGCUUGCAUUUUUGAAGACUCUACCCAGUGAUGCAGAUUAAAAUGAUCUUGUUUCACCAAAUGGGCAAAAUUUGUAACUAUUUCAAACAGGCUAACCCGAAACUACACCCUUUGACGGUUGUUGGAUAUGCUCGGAGCAAUAAUCGGUAGAUUGGCUCCACAGGGUACCCCCCUCCUUCCCCACUGCCGCCACCAUUGGAAAAAUAGGGGAAGAAAUUUAUUUAUGACAUCUACACCUAGAAACUGACGGUACUAAGAGAAAUAAAAUCACGCGGCGUAACGCGGAAUGGUAACGUGAUCCCGCGUAAGUUCCCGCGUAAAACCGUCUUUUCGUGACGUCACUUGUUUUCCUGUGACGCGGAAGACACUGGUAACGAAAGAGAACCCAAACAUGGCGAUGGGAUGUUUCUGAGAUUGUAAACUUAUUUUGGAUGAUGAAUGCAACGACGAAUACGACAUCUAUGGUAUCAGUUUUCUUUUGAAGCAUGUUUUUGCUCGUUUGGUUGGAUUUGAGUGCAAGGAAAAUUGUUGUGACGGCUUCAGAACACUGGAAUGAAGACCACGUUUAACAACCCCUCACGCACAGAAACAUUGCACAAAUUAUUCCAUAAAACUGGUACUAAAGGCCACUUGAGGAGAAGCUGGAUCUAUGUGGAAGAACAAGUCAUAACAUAAGAAGAUAACGAAAGAAGGAACGAUUAGGAUGCUUAAGACUGAAAUGGUGAAGAGGCAGACCAAAAAAGAAAAACAGGGGACUGAUGUAUAUUAUGGCAACAGUUGCAACUGGAAGAAACCAAAUCAGUUACCUUGGCUGACCAGUCAACAAUGGAUGGACAGACUGACAUAUCUGGACAGACAGUGGACAAAGCUGGAUGGACAGUGGGCAAACUCAAAAUAUUCAAACCUUGACCAACCAGUCAACAAUGGAUGGACAGUGGAGAAGUCUGGACCGACAGUGGACAAAGCUGGAAGGACAGUGGGCAAACCCAAAACAUUCAAACCUUGACCAACCAGGAUGCUAGACAGCAGAGAUCAUUCCAAGACAGCAUGGACUUGGAGAGAGUGGAAAAUGGGCAACAGGCCAGACACAAAGGAAGAUGCUUAAAGAUUGGCUACCAAGACAAGGCUACAAGAUGGUUUAUUAAGUAGUUUGUCUUAAGUUAGUUGCAUUUUUUUGGCCCAGCCCGGGAGGCCUUUGAACAUGGGGUACAGCUGGCCCGGGGUUUUCCUCCUAGGAGCAAGUGGACGUACGGGGAGGUUUUUCACCCAGCUGUUGUUCCACAACCCCCGUUCAGAUUAGUUGGUUAUUUCGUUAGUUUGAUAGUCUUCAACUAGAUUUUCAUUAUAGACUCUUGGCAAACUGCUUGCAUUGGUUUGGAUCGAGUCAACCUGGUUAACUCUGACUUCACUAACUCACAAGAACAAACAACUUGCAACUGAUACCUAUGACUACUUUUCUUUCACCCAACAAGUGACUUUUUCUUGUCCUCAACAAACUUUAACUUCAAACAGAACCAACACAAACUUGACUAACAACAGAUGGAGUGAAACUACACAACAUCUGACACUGACUUUUAACUUUACGCCCUACAGGUGACUUAUUUACAACCUCAACAAACCAACCAUUAAACUGUAACUUCAAACAGAACCAACACAAACUUGACUUAAACUAUACUGUAGAUGGAGUGAAACUAUACACCAUCUGACAGUGGCAAGUACUUAUACAUGUACUUUACAGAUGACUUUUUUUACGACCUCAACAAAGCAACCAACAAACUUUUUAGCUUUCGACAGAACAAAUGCAAACUUGACUAACAACAGAUGGAGUGAAACUACACGACAUCUGACACUGACAACUACUUACACCUUACGUUUGACUUACAUGUAUUUGUGACUUCAACAAACCAACCAACCAACUUUAACUUCAAACAGAACCAGUUGACACAAAAUUGACUAACAAUUCAUAUAGAUAGACACUGACAUCCUGAAGCCAACAAUUACUAAUUAAUACACCUUGAAGAUGACUUACUCACAAAAAAAUGAUGACACGUUCACAACCUCAAUGAACCAACCAACAAGAACAAAUACAUUUACUUGAUGAACAUUAUAGAUGGAUUGAGACCGACAACUACGUACAUGUGACAACUGACUUAAUUAUCAGGACCUCAACAAACCUAAAAACUACACCUGCAUGACUCUAGCACUUCAUUGUAAAAUGAAGAGACUGUCAUUGAUACUGCAGGCUACUACUGACUUCCGCCCUAUACCAUGAUCACCAAAACUUUACAAACUACAGAAACUGCACAAGCUGCAUACCAAUGCAAGGAUUAGCUUUGAGUCAGAUAAUGUUAUUAUUAUAUGUAGAUGUGUGUGCCACCAUUGUUCAAACAAGUGCCUUUUUU